rnacentral:SRP_RNA from 1 species
GCUGGGCGUGGUGGUGCACACCUGUAAUCCCAGCUACUUGGGAGGCUGAGGCAGGAGAAUCGCUUGAACCCGGGAGGUGGAGGUUGCAGUGAGCCAAGAUCACCCUGCUACACUCCAGCCUGGGUGACAGAGUAAGACUCUGCCUCAA